UACGUAGGGUGCAAGCGUUAAUCGGAAUUACUGGGCGUAAAGCGUGCGCAGGCGGUUGUGUAAGACAGAUGUGAAAUCCCCGGGCUCAACCUGGGAACUGCAUUUGUGACUGCACAGCUGGAGUGCGGCAGAGGGGGAUGGAAUUCCGCGUGUAGCAGUGAAAUGCGUAGAUAUGCGGAGGAACACCGAGUGAGCGGAGGACC
rnacentral:rRNA from 1 species